AGUAGCAGAGGCUGAUACAGGCAGGAAGCCUGGCAGUAAGCUAGGGAAGCUCAGGAGACGCUGGUGCUGGUGGGAGGAGCAAGUUUGGCUCCUGCUGAGCCCUAGCCGGAUACAGCCUCAGUGUGGGAGUUAGAGAAGGGUAGGUGAAUUGAAAAACUGUUUUGGACUUUUGAGUUCUAUUUUUGUGACUGACUGUUGCCAGCCUGCGAGGAGAACUGGGGGAAUAAAAGGACUGAACUUAGAAAGUUACUGUGCACCACAGAUCAUUGUAUUGGAUGGCAAGUCAGAACUCAACUUCUUGUUUGGCCGGCAUAUUAUUAUCCUGUGAUGAAGGCUUCAAAGUCUGAUAGCUGUGGAUGUUCAUUAGCAUCCCCCCUCCCUCCUAGAGAAGUAUAUUACAGGAUGAUGUCAGUCUGUCACAGCAGACUCUUCAAAAUGAGGGAGUUCUGGCACUGGAAACCAUCAGAUGCUUUCACUGUAUCUGAGGUUGAAAGAUCAGCUGUUCAGGCAUUAGAAUCUGUUCAGGCUUUGAUCUUUGUCUCCAAAUUGGAUCUGGUGGUCCUGAAAACGUCUUUUGGAAGAAAAUGUCACACAGCUAUGAGAGAAAACUAACAAACUGCAAAUUACAUUUGAUGGUCCUAAGAAUCUGCUGCACAAAAUUGCAGGGAAAAAGGUGCCUGAUCCCAUUGACAUCAAUUGGCAUUGGAUGGAGCCCUGACUUUGAAUCUAUUACUUUGGAAUUACCAGUCCUUUUUCCUGCCAAACUCAGGAAGAUUGCAGGUGGAAAUAAAUUCACUAAAACCAUUUUCUCUUACUUCCCUACAGAUUGAACUAGAAAAACGUUAGUGAAAAAGGUCUUAAUGGACUAGAGGACAACCCUACAGUAGAUUCUCUGCUUGAAGAUUUGGAAUAGUACAUUAACCUGUGCUCUUUUGCUUUAUAUUAACUAAGCAAUAUGUUUUAGCCAGCCUGUAGUGCUUUCUUUGUGGGUCUUUUUUUUUUUUUAAAGGGAAUACUUUAGAUAUUUAAAUGUAAAGGCCCAGUUUUUUUCUGAAGAUUUGUCUAGACAAAUUGAGCACUUUUCCUAAAAAGAGAAAAAACAUGGCAAAGUUUGUUACUAAAUUUUGUCAAUUUAGGCCCCAGUUCUGCGAAGGUUUACUCACAUGCUUAAUUUUAUGCACAGUGGGCUGUCACGCGUAUGCAUAAUUUUUUGCAAAGAUGAGGUUUUAAUCUAUCCUGAGUCUAAUUCUGCCACACUUGAUGACAGUUCCUAACCACAUAAGCACCAAAGUCAAUGGGAUUUCUUGCAUAGUAGGAUGAGACUCAUCCUGAGUAAAAGUGGCAAAAUCUGGUCCUAAAUUAAUAUUGAGAAAUUAAGCUGAAAUAUUAAUACUUAAUUUUUGGCUUUUGAGUACAAGUUUAAGACCCAUUGAGAUCAAUAUGAAAUUAAGGUUUAAUGUAUACUACUUUAAUCUUAAAACAAUUUAUAAACUUUGAUUUUUUUUAAAAGUGAAUGUUGUGUAACAUACUUAAUGAGCUAAAAGCCAGAUUAUAAAUUCCGUACUCAAGGGAAUAAUCCCAGUGAAGUCAAUCCAGCUAAUCCUAUAAGUAACAGCUCACUAACAUAAGUAAGAUUCACAAACUGAUGCUAAUAAAAUACUCUUUUUUUUUUUUCUCACUGGUAUUAGCAUAACAGAACAUUCCUGUAUUUGCUGUUGCAAUGUCAGGAAAGGAAUGUUACCAUGGUUACAGGACUGGACUGAAUUCUUGUAUCUCAAUUGCUGAACACUUUUAUGACUAACCUCUCAGAUGCACCUUUCAGUUUCAAGCUGAAACUUUGAAGCUACACUAACCCCUUUGAGUUUUAAUCCCAUGAAACCCAGGGCUGAUACAUUAGGUAUUCCCCAAAUAGAUAAAAGGAAGUGUACAACUUGAUAGAGCACUGUACUAUAGCAAUGUCUGGCUGUGGUGCUGGCAUGUUUCUCAGAAAUUAUUUGGCUUUUAACACCUAAUGUUUUAAGGAAACAUCAAAUACACUUUAUGGGUUUUUUCAAACUAAUUUUGGAUUUAUAUAGUAAAUAGGAUCUGCUUCUAGCUGAGGAAAAACUUACUAUUACUCAUAAUGUCUGGAUCAUAAAGAGUCUUCCUUUCAGCUCUUCUUGUUCAGCUGUUAGUUUAAGAACUGAAAGAUUCCUAGCUCAAGCCAUGACAGCAAUAUUAUACAGGUCAUAUUUACAACAAAUUGUCUACAGGGUGGAGGCACUUCACUAAUUGUGAUGGUAUGACCACCAGAUUGAAUGAACAGUUAGCUUCUGAAGUGUUCUUAUGAGCAUACCAGGCAUGUUGGAACAAUUUUGUAUAGUAGGGGUGUUGGGAGCCAUUGAACCAAACUGUAAACCCUGUAUAUAAUGUAAAGCACUUCAAACCAUGGGGUGCGGCAGCACCCCCAGUACCCCUAAUUCCAGCACCUAUGGAGCAUUUCUGUGGGAACCUUUGGCUUUAAAUCUACGCAGGGAUCAGUAAAGGUAAUUGCUUUGGACUCAAUACAUUGCUGAAGUCACGUAGUCGUGAGAAUUGAAAUAAGAUUCUCCUGGCUGCUCAUAGGUGUCACCCAACACGGAAGCCUGGAUUUGAUUUUUUAGGCACAACCUGAGCAAAGGCUGGAGGAUACACUGCAUAAACCCAGGAUUAUCACCAGGAGGCACUGUGAUUCAGAUACAUCUCUAAGUCACAGUUCGUCUCCUGCUUUCUCCUUGGUUCUGCUGUACCAGCAGCGAACAACUACUCAUGCUUUGCUGGUGCAACUGCUUUGGUCAGUGACCGGAAGAAAGGAGUGGAACCAAAUCUUCAGUUAUUCCCUGCCCCUCCUCGCCUACUUGCUGCAAGGUGGGAGUAAGCAGCUAUGCUUACUCCUAUGCGCAAGGACCCAAUAACCUGAUACCCUGAGAGAAGAAUAUC